rnacentral:rRNA from 1 species
GCAAGUCGAACGCUUUUUCUUUCACCGGAGCUGGCUCCACCGAAGAAAAAGAGUGGCGAAGGGGUGAGUAACACGUGGGUAACCUGCCCAUCAAAAGGGGAUAACACUUGGAAACAGGUGCUAAUACCGUAAAACACUAUUUUCCGCAGGGAAAAAAGUUGAAAGGCGCUUUUGCGUCACUGAUGGAUGGACCCGCGGUGCAUUAGCUAGUUGGUGAGGUAACGGCUCACCAAGGCAACGAUGCAAAGCCAACCUGAGAGGGUGAUCGGCCACACUGGGACUGAGACACGGCCCAAACUCCUACGGGAGGCAGCAGUAGGGAAUCUUCGGCAAUGGACGAAAGUCUGACCGAGCAACGCCCCGUGAGUGAAGAAGGUUUUCGGAUCGUAAAACUCUUUUGUUAGAGAAGAACAAGGAUGAGAGUAAAAUGUUCAUCCCUUGACGGUAUCUAACCAGAAAGCCACGGCUAACUACUUGCCAGCAGCCGCGGUAAUACGUAGGUGGCAAGCGUUGUCCGGAUUUAUUGGGCGUAAAGCGAGCGCAGGCGGUUUCUUAAGUCUGAUGUGAAAGCCCCCGGCUCAACCGGGGAGGGUCAUUGGAAACUGGGAGACUUGAGUGCAGAAGAGGAGAGUGGAAUUCCAUGUGUAGCGGUGAAAUGCGUAGAUAUAUGGAGGAACACCAGUGGCGAAGGCGGCUCUCUGGUCUGUAACUGACGCUCACGCUC